CCCAGACUCCUACGGGAGGCAGCAGUGGGGAAUAUUGCACAAUGGGGGAAACCCUGAUGCAGCGACGCCGCGUGAGUGAAGAAGUAUUUCGGUAUGUAAAGCUCUAUCAGCAGGGAAGAAAAAAGACGGUACCUGACUAAGAAGCCCCGGCUAACUACGUGCCAGCAGCCGCGGUAAUACGUAGGGGGCAAGCGUUAUCCGGAUUUACUGGGUGUAAAGGGAGCGUAGACGGUUAAUCAAGUCUGAAGUGAAAGCCCGCGGCUCAACUGCGGAACGGCUUUGGAAACUGAGUAACUGGAGUGCUGGAGGGGCAGGCGGAAUUCCUGGUGUAGCGGUGAAAUGCGUAGAUAUCAGGAGGAACACCGGUGGCGAAGGCGGCCUGCUGGACAGUAACUGACGUUGAGGCUCGAAAGCGUGGGGAGCAAACAGGAUUAGAUACCCCCGUAACA
rnacentral:rRNA from 1 species